rnacentral:lncRNA from 1 species
CCCGCUGCUAUUCAGCUGUCGGGCUAAUUAGCAGUCGAGGUGUGCGGCUAGGCGCGGGCUCUGCAGGAGCUCAGCCCCACGGAGGGAGCCGGCAGCGGCGCGGCGAGGACGGCGGCGGACCGGGGAAGCCCCGCGCCCUGGCCAGGAUAUAGAAGACUUAGAUCACUACGAGAUGAAAGCAGAGCCCAUUAGUGGGAAAAAGUUGGAGGAUGAAGGAAUUGCAAAAGAAAAUUUGGCAAUAUUAGAGAAAUUAGGAAGACUGAAAGGGUUGACCCUGCUAGUCCUUUGCACAGUGAUCUUCAGAUCUUAAAAGAAAAAGAAGGCAUAGGAGAUACUUUGCUUAACUUAUCUUUUAAGAAACUGUUGUCGUUGUCAACUGGGUUGUCUUCCUGAAGUAUGAAUCCGGUAUGUAUUGUGUGGAGGAGCAUUACGUAUUGAACUUCUCACAAAACAGGGCUGAAGCAGUGCCUACUCGACAGAACCGGUCAUCGUACAAAGAAAUGCCACCUGACUCAAAGGCAAAGCCAGAGUACAGCUUGGAGCAAA